AGGAGCCGUAUGAGGUGAAAAUCUCAUGUACGGUUUUGGACUAGCGAUGUAAACAGUGAGAUCUGCUAUCUUCGAU
rnacentral:ncRNA from 1 species